AUGACCUUCAUCAUCAUCUUCAUCUGGACUCUCACAGCGUUUGCUCAAGAGUGUAGAGGACAGAUCAGCGUCACUCAGAGUCCCUCAACGACAGCAGCUCAACCAGGAGAAACAGUGAAGAUCAACUGUAGAACCAGCACAGGUGUGGCUGAAUAUAGUGCACCACGUUACUAUUUAAGCUGGUACUUACAGAAACCUGGAGAAGCUCCUAAACUCCUGAUAUAUCGCACAAUAGACCGUGACACUGGAACUCCAUCUAGAUUCAGUGGCAGUGGAUCUAAAAGUGAUUUCACUCUGACCAUCAGUGGAGUCCAGACUGAAGAUGCUGGACAUUAUUACUGUCAGAGCGUCACUCGUCCUAAAGUGAGCGUCCUGCCGCCCUCCAGUGCAGAGAUCUCCUCAAAGAAGACAGCGACACUGAUGUGUGUGGCCAGCGAGGGCUUCCCGUCAGACUGGAGCCUGAGCUGGAAGGUGGACGGGAGCAGCAGGUCUCAGGAGAGCAGCGCUGGGCUCCUGGAGAAGGACGGUCUGUACAGCUGGAGCAGCAGCCUGACUCUCUCUGAGCAGGAGUGGAUGGAGAGCGUCUCAGUGAGCUGUGAGGCCACACGGAGCGGCCAGCCUGCGCUCACUGGACACGUGACGAGACAGCAGUGUUCAGAGUAGAUCUGCUGCUCUUCUCACUCAUGUCUCACAUGGAGACUAACAGCACAUGAGCGACUCCUUCAUUCUCCACAUCCAGCUUCAGUCGCUCGCAUCUGCAUCUGCUCUGCUUUGUGUGUUUCAUUUAAUCCUGUAUGUGUGAUUUUAUUAAAAAUUCAGUCAUUAAAUAAAAUAUAAUUGUGA